rnacentral:hammerhead_ribozyme from 1 species
ACCAGCUGACGAGUCCCAAAUAGGACGAAAUGCGCGUCCUGGAU